rnacentral:rRNA from 1 species
AAACCAGCACCUCAAGUGGUCAGGAUGAUUAUUGGGCCUAAAGCAUCCGUAGCCGGCUCUGUAAGUUUUCGGUUAAAUCCAUAUGCUCAACAUAUGGGCUGCCGGGAAUACUGUGCACCUAGGGAGUGGGAGAGGUAGACGGUACUCGGUAGGAAGGGGUAAAAUCCUUUGAUCUAUUGAUGACCACCUGUGGCGAAGGCGGUCUACCAGAACACGUUCGACGGUGAGGGAUGAAAGCUGGGGGAGCAAACCGGAUUAGAAACCCGAGUAGUCC